rnacentral:rRNA from 1 species
UACGUAGGUGGCAAGCGUUGUCCGGAUUUACUGGGCGUAAAGAGCGCGCAGGCGGUCGGAUAAGUCGAAUGUGAAAGCCCCCGGCUCAACUGGGGAGGGUCAUUCGAUACUGUUCGACUCGAAGGCAGGAGAGGGAAGUGGAAUUCCUGGUGUAGCGGUGAAAUGCGCAGAUAUCAGGAGGAACACCAAUGGCGAAGGCGACUUUCUGGUCUGUAACUGACACUGAGGCGCGAAAGCGUGGGGAGCGAACAGG